GACGAACGCUGGCGGCGUGCUUAACACAUGCAAGUCGAACGGAAAGGCCCUGCUUGCAGGGUACUCGAGUGGCGAACGGGUGAGUAACACGUGGGUGAUCUGCCCUGCACUUCGGGAUAAGCCUGGGAAGCUGGGUCUAAUUCCGGAUAGGAGCCAUUUUUAGUGUGAUGGUUGGAAAGUUUUUUCGGUGUAGGAUGAGCUCGCGGCCUAUCAGCUUGUUGGUGGGGUAAUGGCCUACCAAGGCGGCGACGGGUAGCCGGCCUGAGAGGGUGGACGGCCACAUUGGGACUGAGAUACGGCCCAGACUCCUACGGGAGGCAGCAGUGGGGAAUAUUGCACAAUGGGCGCAAGCCUGAUGCAGCGACGCCGCGUGGGGGAUGACGGCCUUCGGGUUGUAAACUCCUUUCGCUAGGGACGAAGCUUUUUGUGACGGUACCUAGAGAAGAAGCACCGGCUAACUACGUG
rnacentral:rRNA from 1 species